GCGGUAGUGGUGCAGUGGUUAGCAUAAAUGCUUCCCAAGCAUUUGGCCUGGGUUCGAAUCCCGGCUACCGCA
rnacentral:tRNA from 1 species